rnacentral:rRNA from 1 species
AUUGAACGCUGGCGGCAUGCCUUACACAUGCAAGUCGAACGGCAGCACGGGAGCAAUCCUGGUGGCGAGUGGCGAACGGGUGAGUAAUAUAUCGGAACGUGCCCAGUCGUGGGGAUAACGUAGCGAAAGCUACGCUAAUACCGCAUACGAUCUACGGAUGAAAGCGGGGGAUCGCAAGACCUCGCGCGAUUGGAGCGGCCGAUAUCAGAUUAGGUAGUUGGUGAGGUAAAGGCUCACCAAGCCGACGAUCUGUAGCUGGUCUGAGAGGACGACCAGCCACACUGGGACUGAGACACGGCCCAGACUCCUACGGGAGGCAGCAGUGGGGAAUUUUGGACAAUGGGCGCAGACCUGAUCCAGCAAUGCCGCGUGCAGGA